AGAGAUACACAUGAGGGUUUGGAUCCAUUAAAAGCACUGGCAGGGGGAGUGGGAAAAAUUGCAGCAAAAAGAAAGAAAAAAUCAACGUGGUGAUCCGAACCGCAAUGGCCAAGAUGGAGAAAAAAGCAGAAAUAAAAAAUCCCCGUGGGGAUCCGAACCCCAAUGUCUAUCUCAGCAGCAAAGACCCCACCCUGCGCUGGCCACAGUUGGCCGGCAUGCAUCCCGUAGAGAGAGAGAGAAAAAAAACCAGAGGACCUCGCCCCAAAGGAAGGGAGUGGGAAAAAAUGCAGCAAAAAGAAAGAAAAAAUCAACGUGGUGAUCCGAACCGCAAUGGCCAAGAUGGAGAAAAAAGCAGAAAUAAAAAAUCCCCGUGGGGAUCCGAACCCCAAUGUCUAUCUCAGCAGCAAAGACCCCACCCUGCGCUGGCCACAGUUGGCCGGCAUGCAUCCCGUAGAGAGAGAGAGAAAAAAAACCAGAGGACCUCGCCCCAAAGGAAGGAUCUGGGCAAAAUAGCUCAAACGUGUGCGGAAGGACAGCUGCAAGAGAAGAGAGAUGCGAUGCAUUGUGGGAAACUCGACCACGUAGGCCGAGAGGCAGCAAAAAGAAAAGAAAGAAAAAAUCCGCAGGCAGCAAAGACCCCACCCUGCGCCGGCCACAGUUGGCCGGAACGCAUCCCUGAGAGAGAGAGAGAGAAAAAAAACCAGAGGACCCCGCCCCAAAGGAAGGAUCUGGGAAAAAUAGCUCCAACGUGUGCGGAAGGACAGCUGCGAGAGAAGAGAGAUGCGAUGCAUCGUGGGAAACUCGACCACGUAGGCCGAGAGGCAGCAAAAAGAAAAGAAAGAAAAAAUCCGCAGGCAGCAAAGACCCCACCCUGCGCCGGCCACAGUUGGCCGGAACGCAUCCCUGAGAGAGAGAGAGAGAGAAAAAAAAAACCCAGAGGACCCCGCCCCAAAGGAAGGAUCUGGGCAAAAUAGCUCAAACGUGUGUGGAAGGACAGCUGCGAGAGAAGAGAGAUGCGAUGCAUCGUGGGAAACUCGACCACGUAGGCCGAGAGGCAGCAAAAAGAAAAGAAAGAAAAAAUCCGCAGGCAGCA
rnacentral:lncRNA from 1 species